rnacentral:lncRNA from 1 species
ACGGCCCAGAUCAAACGUGCGCACGGACGGCCCAGAUUCACGCGCACGGACGGCCCAGAUUCAAUCAGGCACAGACGGCCCAGAUUACAUCGCGAUGGACAGUCCAGAUUUAUUCCCAAUUAAAUUGCAAUCGAACGGUUCAGAUUUAAUCUUGAUGGACGGUUGAGAUUAAAAGGCAAAAGGUAUAAAUAACCCCACCCGCACCUAACCACAAAAACCCUAGCCGCCAGUGCCUCGCCGGAGAAGAAGAACCAGACGCCGGAGGAGCCGGCCGUCGCCACCCGCCGCCGCACCGGGGAAGUUUCCGACCGCUGAUCGAGGUAAAUUUUCUCCCCCUUGCUCGUUUUUCAAUGCUGAGUU